UCCUUGAUGGUCCAGUGGUUAAGACUCUGCACUUCUAAUGCAGGGGGCCCAGAUUCAAUCCCUGCUCAGGAAA